rnacentral:lncRNA from 1 species
GAAAAACUGCCUCAUUUCCGUCUUUUGUCACGGCGACAAACAAAAUGCCACUAUUUUUGCCCUUCAGGUGUGUGCCGUCAACCACAAUCACUGGUCGAAGGUGAAAGUAGAAAGGUGAGAUGGAAGCCCACAGAGCAACAAACAAAUGUUUGAACCGGCAGUCUACAUCUACGUCCAAAUCAUAUAAGGUGCCAGGAUUCGCUUCCUUCAGGGCAUACAGAUAUCUUGGGAGCAGGAGGAACGAAUCAUCAACUCGACCGUAUAUCAUAUCCAUCCCGAGAUUUCUUGCACGCAGCGCGACAUCAUAUUUGAUUUUGAUGCCGAAAUCGCGUACUAACUCAGCCAUGAUGGAUUUCGGCUUAAUGACCUCUCCAUCAUCGCGUAUUCUGUUUGCCACAAACGCUG